rnacentral:rRNA from 1 species
GAUGAACGCUGGCGGCGUGCUUAAUACAUGCAAGUCGAGCGAACGGACGAGAUGCUUGCUUCUCUGAUGUUAUCGGCGGACGGGUGAGUAAUACGUGGAUAACCUACCUAUAAGACUGGGAUAACAUCCGGAUGCCGGAGUUAAUACCACAUAAUAUUUUGGAUCUCUUGGUUCAAGUGUCAAAGACGGUCUUGCUGUCGGUUAGAGAUGGAUUCGCGCUGCAUUAGCUAGUUGGUAAGGUAAUGGCUUACCAAGGCAACGAUGCAUAGCCGACCUGAGAGGGUGGUCGGCAACACGGGAACUGAGGCACGGUCCAGACUCCUACGAGAGGAAGCAGAAGUGAAUCUUCCGCAAUGGGCGAAAGCCUGACGGAGCAACGCCGCGUGAGUGAUGAAGGUCUUCGGAUCGUAAAGCUCUUUUAUUAGGGAAGAACAUAUGUGUAAGUAACUGUGCACAGCUUGACGGUACCUUAUCAGAAAGCCACGGCUAACUACGUG